UACGUAGGUGGCAAGCGUUGUCCGGAUUUAUUGGGCGUAAUGCGAGCGCAGGCGGUUCCUUAAGUCUGAUGUGAAAGCCCACGGCUCAACCGUGGAAGGUCAUUGGAAACUGGGGAACUUGAGUGCAGAAGAGGAGAGUGGAAUUCCAUGUGUAGCGGUGAAAUGCGUAGAUAUAUGGAGGAACACCAGUGGCGAAGGCGACUCUCUGGUCUGUAACUGACGCUGAGGCUCGAAAGCGUGGGGAGCAAACAGGAUUA
rnacentral:rRNA from 1 species